AUUAAAUAGACUCACCUCUCUUCAAGAAUUGACCAUCGGAGGUGGAGGAUGCUCAAACGUGGUGUCGUUCCCAGGAGAAGGGAUUGGAAUGAUGCUGCCUCCUUCUCUCACCUAUAUCAUGCUUUUCCAAUUUGAGAACCUGGAAUUCAUGUUCUCCGAGGGCUUUCAAGAUCUCGCCUCUCUUGAAAGACUGGAAAUCAGUGAAUGUCCCAAGCUAACAUCUCUUCCAAAAAAAGACGUGCUUCUCUCGCUUGGAUAUUUAAGUAUUUACAGUUGUCCGUUGCUGAAAGAAGAGUGCUCUUGCGAUAAAGGACGAGAGUGGUCUAAGAUUUCCCACAUACCCCUUGUUGUAAUUGAUGAUAAAGCAGUCAUCCCGAGGGAAUCAGAUUGAAAGAUGAGCCGCAAAAUCUGUGAUUGGUUUCUUCAGAGUGAUGGGAGAGGUACAAAAAACCAUUUCAAACAAGUCUAACUUUCCUUAGGAACAAGAUAAGAAUAGGAAUCAGUAUAAAUUUAUUGAUUUAUAUUUGCAGGGAUUGAAACAAUUCUAAGUUUCAGUAUUUUCAGAUGUUUGUGAACUUCUUUCUUGGCUUUUGGAGUAGCAUUAGAUCAUCGGUUUUUGUAGAAUGUGAGCUUUGUGUAUUGUUUAUUUUAUUCUUUUACUGUACUUUUUUUAUAUGUACGAUAUAAUAGGGAAGAAUAAGAUGAACAAUUUCACAUUAAACAUCAAUCUUAUAACAUUUUCCUUAUUUUCAAUAUAUCUUUACUUAUCUUCUAUUUUGGAAAAUUUAGGCAAAAACAUCAAACUUUUGACCAUUUGACUAAAAAAAAAUUAAUACGUCGAAAGAAUACACAUUUUGUUUUCUUAAGAUGCAUUUUUUGUUUCUCUCUCCAAAAUAUAUCUAUUUCUCCAAAUUUAAGAAAUAUCGACCUAAUUCCCUAACUUUUUUUUUAUUUCAACAUUUUUAUCCAAUUUUCUCUUAUUUUUCUAUUUCACUCUCUUUUUUUUUCUUUUCUCUUUCAAUUUUCUUUCUUUCUUUUCUUCCUAUUCUUUUUCUCUCUUUCCCAACCUUAGCUGUCGCUAGCAUGCACUAUAGCCGCACUACGACAUUUGUUCUUCUGUCCAAAUAAUGGCAUUGGUCAACUCUUUUCCUCAUUCUCUUUCAUUUCCAAAUAAUGGAGUUGGAAAGUGCUUUUGAAAAGUACUAUGGAAAAGUGUUUUUGAAAAUUGCUGUGGAAAAGUGCUUUUGAGAAGUGCUUUUGAGAAGUGCUUUUGAGAAGUGCUUUUAAGAAGUACUUUUGAAGUUUAAAAUUUGAGUGUUUAGCAUUGUUGUCAAAAAGUACUUUUGAGAAAUAAAUGUUUAUUUUAGACAUGUUAUUAUAAAGUAACAAAUAUGUAUUUAAAUAUUAUUUAAAUUAGUUAAUAUUAUUAUAUUUUAGUAAGAAUAUAAAAAAAUUAUUAUAACUUGUUGUUAAUAUUUUAAUAUAUGAAAUAUAAAUUUUAAAUAUUUUUAAGCAAUAAAUAUUAAUUAUUUAUAAAAUUUAAUUAGAAUAUAUAAACUAUAUUUUAAAAAUUUAUAAAAGUUUGAGCAACUCAUCAUUAAGAAUUGCGGUGGUGCAAAAUUCUCAUCUUGGAUGGCAGAUUCUUGUUUCAAAAGUUGAAGUGUUCAGAGGCGCAUUUAUCGAUUUAUUCAAUAGUUUGGGUGAGUUAUGUAUAGUUCUAAGUAUUGUAUUUAUCCUCUUCUAUACUUCAGCUAAUGCGAGACGUAAAGCAUCAAUGAAGAUUUUUGUCUUUUUUUGAUUGUCACGAUCCUUUUUUGUUAAGCUGAAAUGAAAAAAAAAUCAGCUUAAAAUAUGAAAAUUUUGAUUUUAAGAAAAAUAUGGAUUUUAUUAAAAAAAAGGAGUUGUCACUGAAUAUUUUUAGUUAGGUGUGAUAGAUGACCUAUAAAAUCACAUUUUAUAAAAAAAAUUUAAAGUCUCUCUAAAAAUGACAAUUACGCAUAGGAAGAGUUAUAACACCCUUACAACUACCAAAAUUGGUACCUUAUUGAUUAUGUGUAGUUUGAUAAUCCUAAAUUUUAAAUUUAUAAAAUAUGAUAUUUAAUUAUGAUCCAUUUAAUUAAUUACAUAUAUAAUAAAAAUACUUUUAUUUCUAAAUGAAUUAAAAUUUUAAAAUAAUGUUCGGUAUCUCCUGUCCAUAAAAAUACCAAAAAAAAAAUAUUAAUAAGCAAAACUCGUGGAUUUACUUGGUUUGGAAAAGGAUAUCCCAUUGUUAAUAAACUUAUCUUCUAUUUUGGAAAAUUUGGGCAAAAAGGCUGAAAAACAAAUUAGAGAGUUAGGCUGAAAUUUUCUAAAUUUAAGGAAAUAUGUCGAUUUUAAGAGAGAAAUAGAAAAUGCGUCCUGGGAAAAGCACUUUCUGCAAAACUAAUAUUUUUGACAAAUUAAUAUUUUUUUACAAUAUAUUUAUUAAAGAGAAAUUGAACUCGAACACUCGAUAAUAAAACUACUAAGAUUUGACCAUUUGGCUAAAAAAAAGCUAAUAUGUCAAAUGAAUAUACAUUUUGUACAAAAUAUUUUUCGCAAGAUGCGUUUCUGUUUCUCUCUCCAAAAUAGACUUAUUUUUCCAAAUUUAGGAAAUACCGACCUAAUUCCCUAACUUUUUUUAUUUCGGCAUUUUUAUCCAUUUUUCUCCUUCUAUUUUUCUAUUUCACUUUCUUGUUUUUUUUUCCUUUUUCCUUUUUUUAUUCUUUCCUAUUUCAAUUUUAUUUCUUUCUUUUCUUCAUAUUCUCUUCCUCUCUUUCCCAACCUUAGCUAUCGCCAGCAUGGACCACACCUGCCCUUCGACAUUUGUUCUUCGAUCUAAAUAAUGGAAUUGGUAAACUCUUUUCCUCAUUCUCUUUCAUUUCCAAAUAAUGGCUUUGUGGUUCUCCUUCAUCGAUCACCUUACUCUUGUGUCGUCACUGCUUGUUUCGAUGUUGUCAUUGAUCGAAGAAGCCACCAAACGGUCCACAUUUCCUUUUUCUCUCAUGCUUCUUUCUACUUUAUUUUUUGUUUUUAAAGCCCUUAACUGUCGUUUCAUUGUCGUUGCUCUCCGUCGUCGAACCGAGCCACCACCGUCAAUGGCCUUGCUUCUAGUCAACAUGCACUGCUACUUAGCCUCUUGUUUCUUUCCUCUUUUUACUAUCGCUAAUAAGUGAUAAAAGUAAUAUAUUAUAAUCCCGUUCUUAAAGCGUUUUUGGAUGAUUAUUUAUGUAAAUUAGUGAAUUUUAUGCUCCUAAUCUUUUGAAUUCAUGUUUCUAUACUUAGGUGAGCAUUUAGGAGUGAAAGGAGCAAAAAACGAGUGAAAAUUAGACAAAAAGAGAAGUUUUCAGGAGCCACAUGUGCUAGACACACGACCUUAUGAUCCACAUGGGCUGGACACAUGGCCAUGUGCCAGACCGUGUCGAUUUCGUAACUUGCUUCCCAAACACGCCAAAAAAAUGCAAUUUUUAGGUUUUCUAAGUAUUCUAAAGUCUAUAAAUACCAAAUAUAAGAAAAGAGAAGGGGAGCCAUCUAAGAAUAUUGAAGGAAACAACUCGAAGAACAUCAUUGGAGCCAAAUCUGAAGUAUAUUUCCAUUAAGAUCGAAGACCUCUUUUUAAUUUCUUUUAAAGUUUUUAUGAGUUUUUUUUAUUUCUUGUGGUUAUUUUGAAUUUGAGAUGUUUUUAUUCAGAAUUAUGAACUAGUUCCCUAGAUAUUUAGUGAUGGUGAAACUUACGACGAAUUCUAUUAUUUGAUUUCUGUUUUACGCGAUAAAUACUUUAUUCUUGUUCUCAAUUAUGUGUACUUAUCUCUUGUUUUAAUAUUUCCAGGAUAUUAAUUCAUGUUUAAUAUGCUUAAAUCAGAGGAGGAAAAGUCUCUAUUUAAAAGUAGAUCUAGCAUAAUUAAGUGAAGUUGCAUGCAGUCCUAGAAAUAGGACGGCAUAAAUUUACCGGAUUAGAGUCAAAUCUAAUAAAGGAAUCCAUAGAUCGAGUUAAUGCGAUAAUAAAAGUUUUAAUUAGAAAGAAAUUUUAAUUAAUUAACCUAGAGUCAGUUGCUCUUACUCUCGAAAGAGAUAUUAGUAUAGUUUAGGGAUUUCUACGGAUCAAGACACCAAGUGAAUAAAUUAUUUAAUUCAGAUUCGUAAUAAUAGGUGAAGUCUAGGUGGAUUCUUUCCUGGGUAUUGUCUCUCUCAUCGAUUAUUAUUUGGUUAUUUUCCUGAUUUAUUUCCUAUUGAGUUCUUAGUUAGAUUAAUUUAGUAAAUUUAGUUUAAAAGCAAACACUCCAAUUUGUUGGCUAAAUAAUAGGAAAACGACAAUUACAAAUACUUUUAGUCCUCAUGGAUACGAUAUCUCUACUCACCAUAGCUAUACUAUUUAUUGAUAGGUGCACUUGCCUUCGUCGUAUUUUUAGUUAGUCAUGUGAAAACACAUCAGUCGCCGCUCUUGUCUAACUGAUAACUCUAAAAUAUAAAGUUAUCUUUAGCACUUCUAGAUUGGUAAUUCAUGCAAAUUUUAAGUGUUUGGUAACAAAUUUUGGGAUUUUUAUGAAAACUUUAUCUUGUUGAAUAAUACUAAGAUAAAUUUGCUAAUUUAAUCAUUUUAUACACUAAAACACAUGAUUGCAGUUUUUGAGACAAUUGAUGCACCGGAAGAAAAGACAAUUUUGAAGUUCACCCUUUUGGUGCAAUGUUGUAGCAUUUCCACAACAUAAGCCAUGUAGAAGAGGGUUGAUAUAUGGUCAUCUUUGGACCAAAUUAAAGACUUAUUAGACUUUGAAAAUUCUCUUGACCCAACUCAAGAAUUGGGUCAACAAAUAUGGAUUGCUUGCUAAGUAGAUAAGAGCCCAAACCAUCUUUAAAAAUAAAAUAUAUGCCCUUUUAAAAAAUAUAUAUGCUAUAAAAUUAAAAUACUAUUAUUACCCUAUAAAAAUAAUAUUUUAAACUUAAAUCAUGUAUGGGAGUGUGAAAAGCCAUAAAAAAUUAGAUUUGUGUGUAAUUAUUUGCAAUUAUUUGCACAAUUAAUCCAAUUUUUAUUCUGUAGUUAGUUGCUCUAAUUACACUUGGGAACGUUUGGUUAGUUGAAAUCUUAUAUGACAAUUUGUAAUAUUACAUUCUUAAAUGAGAUUACGGUGUUUGAAUUUUUUAACAUUUUGGUUAUCUCAUUCUCACAUUCUUGAAGAGUAAUUAAAAACCAAAAUAACGUUAUGUUAUCUCAUAUUAUGGAUGGAAGACAAAAUUAACCUUUAUUUUUAUCGUAUUAGUGAAUAUAAUUUUCCCAAAAUAAUUGUAAUUAAAAACCAAAAUGGUUUUUUUCUUUCUUUCCUCUCUUGACAUUAAAAACCUUAGCUUAACUUUUUCAAUUUCUUCAUGAUGGAAAAAAAAUAAAUCACAGAUUGUGAGUAAUGCAUAAAAAAAUGUCAUAAAAAAAUAAAUAGAAAAUUAUGUGAAUGUGAUGAUUAUCACUCCAUUUUCGAAACAUUAAAAUUAUAUAAUUGUGAAAUUUUUAGUUUCAGAUCUCAAAGGUAAUCAAUUCCUCAAAAAAUAAACCAUAUAAAUAAAUAAUUAUCAUAAUUAAAUUUAGAAAAUUUUGAUCUGAAUUUAUAUGAUAAAUUAAGGUGUAAUAAAAAUUAAUUUCUUAAAUUAUUAUAAUUUUAUGAUUUUAUUUAAGCCACUAGACGAUUAAUGUAACACCCCUCACCUGAUCUGAUCCUCGGAUUCAAGUUACAGGAUGCUAUAUCAUUAUUGAAACUUUAUCACAUGCGUACAUAGUUCCAAGCAAGAUCGGUUUCAUGACAAUUUACAACAUUUACAGAGGUGUUCACGGCUAAACAAUCAUACAACUUCAGAAACAGUUUAAUACGUGUUUAGGGACCAUUGAGCAAAAUUUCAAAGAAAUCAACGUGGGUAUUGAUACACAAACUAAGGUAUCCAUAUUUUGUAAAACGAGUAUCGAUACUAACAAGAAAAACGAUACUAACUUAGUAUUUUGUCAAAUCUUGAAUCUAAACAUUUUAUCGAUACUCAAGUACAGGUAUCGAUAUUUUUACCUUGAGUAUCGAUACUCGUGAAAAAGUAUUGAUACCAAAUUAAGCUACUAUUUUCCUGCACUAUCAUUCCAACAUUGAGAUAUCAAUACUUAUAAUUUGAAUAUCAAGAACUUUGUUCAAAUCGACAAAAAUACCGAAAAACAGGGAAAAAUUCGUGCUCAAACAUUUUCCUUUUCAACACGCAUCCUCAACACAAUGGGUGAGUUUGGAUGGGCGGUGCGUUUACCUAUGAUUAGUGUAAAAAUAACGGUGGCGGUGAAAUUAGAUACGGUAGCGAUGUCUAACAUCCAAUUGACCAUACUUAUAACCCAAAACAACAUCAAUACUUCAACAAUUCAGACCCAAAUAAAACCAAUAAAAUAAGGAUAACAUCCAACACAAUUCUAAAAUUCCAAAAUCAUAAUAAACCAUUAAGAACAUAAAAAUAACCUUGGACAUCCACCUCUCAUCCCGACCUCGGCCCCAUCCUCCAACCCCGAGGUCGACUGCCCUUUUCUCAAUUAUUGGUAGAUAAUAUUAUUGUAUUAGAACUAAAUCUUUAUAUUAUUGGCUGAAUAUUAAGUGAUCAUCUAUUCUUCCCACACCUAGCUUCAGCUAUUUAGCUUGGACAGCAUCUAAAAUUAUUUGUUAUUCUAAUCUUAAUUUUAGUUGAUAAAGCAGUGUCGCUUUAGCCGAGUGGUUAAGGCGUGUGCCUGCUAAGUACAGGUAAUAUUUUUGUCAACCCCAGAAGAGAUGCCCACCACCGGCGACGUCAGGGGCGGGUAUUGGUGUUGAUGGAGCCUUUUUCGACAGUUGCGUUCUUGGUCUCCUCUAUUGAGGUUUUCUUCCUAUGUUGGCAGUGCUGGGAGUUUUGUGGUGGUUUAGCGACGGCUUCAUUCGCAUCUCGUUUAGCCUCUCGAGCUUUGGCCUUCUCCGCCUUUCGCCUCUUCCUUUCUAGUGCUUCCUUAGCUUUAGCCGCUUCCUCUUCCUUACUCAAUUCCUCCUUCUCUGUUCUCUUUCUGUAGGAGCAGAUUGCAUAUACUUCUUUUGCUCCACAACCUUUUCCGCAAGUACCUUUUCAGCUUUUACCACCGCCACUUCCUCUUGCGUUCGAUCUUUCAAAGUUAAGCCAGACAUUGUAUGAUCCACGAACGCUCUUCCAUUUAGUGCUCGAGGAAUUACAGGAGGCACUUCACCAGGACCAAGUGCACGGCCAUCUAAUGUCCUCAGUCUCCAAAGUGUGCUCCUUCCAUUGCAUCUAACAUAUUCAUUUCGAAAUUCAUCAUUGUUAUUCCAUAAGUCCGUAAAUUUCUCCACCUGAGCCAUCAACUGUUUAGAUAAAAUAUUGUACAAAAUUCUUGAUUUGGAAAAAAUAGAACAAAUGCACGACCUCACCUGGUUAAUACAAAAACUUUGGAGUGCCACUUUAUCCCCUUUCCAAGCCAACUCAUUCGCUUUAUUUAAAUCAUCCAUGUGCUACCGAAAGUGUUUGUUCUGCAACAUUCAAACAAGAGUAGCGUCGGCAUAUCUUUAUCUUAGUUUAUCAGUUUCGAAGAGCAAUGUAUUGAAUCAGAACCAGAACGAAAAUGCAGGUUUGUCUAUGAGUCUCGGAUAGGAUUAUGUGUCCAACACGAUUAUGUUCGUUCACUCUAAGCUUACAGAAUUUAAAAGUACCUUCUCAUGUGAUUGUUUCUUCAAACAUUGCAACUGUGUAUACACUUCUUGUUGGAUGUCAUUUGCAGCUUUGAACUGGUACUGCAAUUCGCUUAACUUGUCGGUUUCCUCAUAGUAUUUUCCCUUAGCUGCCUUAGUGAUCGCCUCGGUGUUUUUGAGUCUGGUUUUCAAUUGGUCAGCUUCCUUCUUUAAAGACUGUAGAAACAGAAGAAUCGAAUAAGCAACCAAAACAUAAGUAAGUUGAAUUUUUUUCCCUUGAGAUUUCCAUCAUCAUACCCAAAUAAACGUUGAUGUGGAAGCACUUUUUUCCUUAUAUAUUUAUAUAUUUGAUACAAACACAAAGUAAAUAACAUUACCAACCGGCUAACCAAUGGAUCUUUGCCACGUUUACAGAAAAAUAACAUAUUAAUUAGUGAUCAAGAUGCGUACAUGUGAACAAUGACAUUAAAUGUAUGUCCUGUGGGUGUGCAGGAAAGAUAAAUGGUAGUGUAGGCAUUGUUUAUUGACUGGUAGCUGAUAAGAAAAUAUAGUAGAGCUGCAGCUUCUGUUUUCAAUGCUUAUGCUCCAAUAAUAGACUCAUUUAAUUUUAGAAAUCCAAAAACUGUGACCUGUUUUCCCCUUUCCUUGUGUUUUUCCAAUCUCAUUUGCCACUAGUCAUUGACUUCCCUUGCCUGUUAACCCCAAUUAUACACAAUCCAUCUCCAUUUCUUUCCCUCAAUUUCCCUUUCCUUCUUCACCUCUCUCUUUGAUUUCUUUGUCCCAAUUCCACCAUGUCUGUCUCGGAGAGGCUGCUCUUUCUGCCUUUUUGGAGCUGUUGUCUGCCAAGUUGCUUGACUUUGUACUCAACUUUGUGGCCGAUCACCGGUAAGUCCACCAGCAACUCAAGCUAUGCCAAUCCAUAUUACCUAAGAUCAAAGCAGUGUUGAACCAUGCAGAGGAGAAGCAGAUCAAGGACGAGGGUAUGAAGAAUUGGUUAGACGAUCUCCAAGACUUAGCUUAUGAUGAGGAUGACAUCUUGGACGAGUUCACUUACCAAGAGUUACAUCUCAAGCUCCAAAAAACUCAAGCACAAGCCAGCACUAGUAAGGUACAAAAACUCAUUCCAACCUGCUGUACUGAUGGUCAUUUCUCUCAAAUCGCUUUUAUGUUCAAUGCUAAGAUGAUUUCAAAGAUAAAAGCAAUCACUGAUGGACUGAAUAGUUUGAACACUGGAAGAAGUAGUUCGGGGUUGAGUGAGAUCAUGUCUCAAGGCGCAACUUCCAAGGGAAAGAAACCCAGGCUGCAACCAACUUCCUUGAACCCAGGCUGCAACCAACUACCUUGAUGGAUGGAGCUGUGGAGUAAGUUGGUAGAGCCAAUGGGAAGCAAGAAAUGCUUGAGUUGCUCAAAAGUAACAAUUCCGAUGGAGUUUGUGUCCUUUCCAUCCUUGGCAUGGGAGGGAUAGGGAAAACAACUCUUGCUCAGCUUGUUCACAAUGAUCCCAGCAUUAAGGAGUCUUUUGAUCACAAGUCCUGGUAUGGGUUUCUGAUGACUUUGAUGCUGUUAACAUAACAAAGACGAUUUAAGAUCCCUCGAUGCUGACUCACAUGAUGAGAAUGACUUGAACUUGUUUCAAGUCAAGUUGAAGGAGAGGUUAUCCGGAAAAAGGAUGUUGCUUGUUUUAGAUGACAUUUGGAAUGAGAGUUACAGUGAUUGGACCAUCUUACGGGCUCCAUUUGGAGCAGGAACCAAGAUUAUUGUAACAACUCGACUCUAAAAGGUUUCAUCUAAUGUCGAUUCGGCGAAAGCGUUUUACUUGGAUAAACUCUCGCAUCAUGAUUGUUUAUCCAUAUUUGCUCAGCAUGCAUUAGAGAAUUGAAAAAAUUACGGUUAUCUAAUUUUUUUAUAGGGGAAGGUAAUGGACAUCUUAUUAGAGAAUUGAAAAAAUUGUCACACCUUAAGAGGUAGCUUUUGUCUUUCUGGAUUGGAGAAGGUUAAUGGUAAGAUGCGAGGGAAGCUAAGUUAAAUGAGAAGCUAGGGGUUGAUGGGUUAGAACUACAAUGGGGUGCAGACUUGGAGAAUUGUACAAGGAAAAUGAAGUUGAAGAGCGGGUGUUGGACUUUCUUCGUCCUCCGAAAAAGCUUGAGCAACUCAUCAUUGAGAAUUACGGGGGUGUAAAAUUCUCAUCUUGGAUAGCAGAUUCUUCCCUUAAGAAUUUAUCAUCUUUGAAGCUUCGCAAUUGUAAAAACUGCAAGUCACUACCAUCAAUUGGAAGGUUGCCACUGUUAAAAGAUCUUUCAAUUAUUGGUUUCGAUCAAGUACAAAAGAUUGGUGUUGAGCUCUUCGGAGAAAAUCAGUUGAAUCCAUUUGCAUCAUUAGAGAUUCUAUAUUUUCAGAGUCUUCCAAACUGGGAGGAGUGGGACACUUGUGAAGGAGACGAGAAGGUUUUGAAACUCCCCAGCCUUCGUGAGCUUUCAAUCAAAACCUGUCCUCAAUUGUUGGGAAGGUUGCCUACCCAUCUUCCUUCCUUGUAAAAACUUGAAAUUCAUAGGUGUAUGAGUUUGGUUGUUUCAAUAUCAAGUUUCCUGUUUCUUUGUAAAUUCAGUAUACGAGGGUGUGCAGAACUGGUGGAUGAUUGCUCUUCUACUGCAAAGGACCUUUCCUCUUUGCAAACUAUGUCUGUUUCUAACAUUUCAAAGUUUAAUAUUCCAGCAGAUAGGACAAUGUUGAGGUUUGGAAACUCAGAACAUUUUGAAAUUGAUGGUUGGGAGGAGUUGGCAUCUCUAUCACGGUAUGGGUUUAGUUUAGUUGGAUAUCGUUUCAUUUCCGUUUGGCGUUGUCCUCAACUACAGUAUUUGGAAGCAGAGGAAGCCGAAUUGCAACCUGACAAGAUUUCAUGUGUUGAAUCUCUGCUGAUAUAUGACUGUGAAAGGCUCAAUAGACUGCCACAAGUCUUACAUGAGCUCAUAUUUCCUACAGUGAUGGAAAUUGGUAAUUGUCGAAGCUUGGUUUCUUUUGCAGAGAAUAACUUACCUCCUAAUUUAAAAAAGCUGAGAAUUAGAAACUGUGAGAAUUUGGAGUAUUUGGUUGAUGAAAAAGAAGAUAAUAUUUGCAAUCAGUUUCAACUUCUCCAAAUUACCGAAUGCUCAAAGUUGAGUUGCCUAUUUUCAAACACCAAGUUUCCCAUAACACUUAAACAUUUGAUAAUUAGGGAAUGUCCAGAGUUGGAAUAAAUAGCCCAAGAGUUUUAGGAAAUCGCUUGUCUUGAAUCUAUUCUAUUUUUUAGAUCUGGAAUUAAAUCUCUACCACGAGAACUAGACAAGCUCAAACAGCUCCAGGAGAUUUGGUUGCUUUCGUGUUCAAAUUUGGUUUCUUUCGAAGAAAGUGGGUUGCUCACCACCAGCUUCAGAGAUUUUGUAGUUGAUGGUUGUGGAAAUUUUGGAGCCCUUACUAAGUGCAUGGCCAGCAUCACCUCCCUUCGACGAUUUAAGGGGGCGCACUGUAUGGCUGACAUAUCAUUUCCAUUGGAGGGAUUCCCUGCCAACCUCGCAUCACUUGCAAUCUCAAAUGCACCCAAGAUUUAUAGGUCACUUGUGGAAUGGGGAUUAAGUAGACUCACCUCUUUUCAAGAAUUGAUCAUCAGAGGUGUAGGAUGCUCAAACGUGGUGUCGUUCCCAGAAGAAGGGACUGGAAUGAUGCUGCCUCCUUCUCUUACCCGUAUCAUCCUUUUAGAAUUUGAGAACCUGGAAUACAUGUCAUCCAAGGGCUUUCAAGACCUCGCCUCUCUAAAAGAAUUGGACAUCGG
rnacentral:lncRNA from 1 species